GUACUUUAGGAUGUGACUAUAAUUGGACAUGGGGCCAUUAAAGAAGUAGAUGAAAGGACCAUUAGUGUGAACUUGCUUCUUAUUUGAUGGAUGCCUUGUACAUCACAAGAAGGCAAAGACAUCAGCAGGCUAAGAAGACAGAUCUCACAAGAAACUACCCCUUCUAAUACUUCUGUAUCUCAGACUUACAACUUCUAGAACUAUAAAGGCGGUACGAUUUAUCGUUUGACAUUGCUUCUCAGAUACAUUAUCCAGGACUACACAAAGGCUGAGCUUAUAAGUAGACUCGAGAAUAAUGUAAACACAUUGAGCAUCCAGAAAGUCACACAAGAGAAACUGCAUUGUGAAGAAGACACUUUUAAGAGUCUGUGGCCAAGACAGUUGUGCAAACGAAUUCUGUCUCCAAGAGCAGUACAGACACGCUGCCAUCAAAUCACCUCAAUAACGUCUUUCUGGUAAAGGGAAGAGGACAACUUAUAAUUUCUCUUCAA
ensembl:lncRNA